rnacentral:sRNA from 1 species
CGCUUGGAGCGAAGCGAGAGGCCAAC